rnacentral:rRNA from 1 species
AGUGAACGCUGGCGGUAGGCCUAACACAUGCAAGUCGAACGGCAGCACAGUAAGAGCUUGCUCUUACGGGUGGCGAGUGGCGGACGGGUGAGGAAUACAUCGGAAUCUACUUUUUCGUGGGGGAUAACGUAGGGAAACUUACGCUAAUACCGCAUACGACCUACGGGUGAAAGCAGGGGAUCUUCGGACCUUGCGCGAUUGAAUGAGCCGAUGUCGGAUUAGCUAGUUGGCGGGGUAAAGGCCCACCAAGGCGACGAUCCGUAGCUGGUCUGAGAGGAUGAACAGACAGACUGGAACUGAGGCACGGUCCAGACUCCGACGGGGGGCAGCGGUGGGGAAUAUUGGACAAUGGGGGCAAGCCUGAUCCAGCCAUACCGCGUGGGUGAAGAAGGCCUUCGGGUUGUAGAGCCCUUUUGUUGGGAAAGAAAAGCAGCAGGUUAAUCCCCCGCUGUUCUGACGGUACCCAAAGAAUAAGCACCGGCUAACUUCGUG